CAAGAAAUCGAAAUCGGCUGUCGGCCAUCUUUAACCUUGCCUUCAGCUCUUUAAGUGCACGAGGAUUCUCGCUGACAGAAAGAAAAAAAAAUCGCUGACAAUGGAAACACUCCGGGUCAACAUCUAGGGAAGUAUUGCAGGGAAGUGUCUCAAUUAGGAAAUAUACCCUUCUGAAUUACUAAUGGACAUAGAAGAUAAAUCUAACCAAAGCAAGUCGAAAUAAAAGAGAUUACCAAGGAAUGGGAACACUUGUUUCACAUAAUAGAGUUGUACUGACAACUGAAAACCAAUAAAACAGAGACCACCUCUCUGAAAUGAGCACAGUUAAGGAUCACGUGCAGUCCGUUGGCCAGUAGCUGUCUUCUACAUUUCUUGGCACAGACAGGUAUGAUGUCCUGGAUGGCAUCCACAAGUCAACUGGUCUUUAGUCAUAAGAGCUCAAUGCAUCAAGUCUCUUGUUGAGCUGGCCUCUUAAUCCAGACUGGAGAGCAACAGAAAAAGCAGAGCCAGGGCCUGAGGACCUCAGCUGGGAGCAGUCACCAGGGGCGCUGCGGCUGCUCCUCUGUGCAGUGGCUU